rnacentral:rRNA from 1 species
UACAGAGGAUGCAAGCGUUAUCCGGAAUGAUUGGGCUUAAAGCGUCUGUAGGUGGCUUUUUAAGUCCGCCGUCAAAUCCCAGGGCUCAACUCUGGACAGGCGGUGGAAACUACCAAGCUGGAGUACGAUAGGGGCAGAGGGAAUUUCCGGUGGAGCGGUGAAAUGCGUAGAGAUCGGAAAGAACACCAACGGCGAAAGCACGCUGCUGGGACGACACUGACACUGAGAGACGAAAGCUAGGGGAGCGAAUGGG